rnacentral:piRNA from 1 species
UCCAUGUGACUUUAGAAUGGAACUGCCGGC